rnacentral:rRNA from 1 species
UACGUAGGGGGCUAGCGUUGCUCGGAAUCACUGGGCGUAAAGCGCACGUAGGCGGCUUCUUAAGUCAGGUGUGAAAUCCUGGAGCUCAACUCCAGAACUGCCUUUGAUACUGGGAAGCUUGAGUCCGGGAGAGGUGAGUGGAACUGCGAGUGUAGAGGUGAAAUGCGCAGAUAUCGGGAGGAACACCAAUGGCGAAGGCAGCUCGCUGGGACGGUACUGACGCUGAGACGCGAAAGCGUGGGGAGCAAACAGG